GGCAUCCUUGGGCCAGAGUUUACUUUGAUACCACGCAGGCCUAUGUUAAGAAGAAUAAAAAGCUUCUGUAAAAUAGGAAAACAACAAUUUCGAAGGAAACAAGAGGAUUUGGCAAAAACCUGUGAUCCGAAGCACAAUGCCCUGGCCUUGUCUCACAGGUUCCUGGGCAGGACGGUGAGGACCGUUGGGGUGUCGAGCAGAACAUGGACAAAAUGCUUCACGGUAACCUCCCUCUGGAGCAACUGGCAAGCGCUGCCGCCCGCCGGGGCUGUGGGGACAAGAGGCGGGCACGUCCUCCAGGAGCCGCGGCCCAGAGCCUGCAGCGGGAAGUCCGACGCCGCGCGGUUUGAGGAGCGGCGGGGAGGCCCGGAGGGCUUGUGGCUGGGCCGGGGCAGCGAGCCGAGUCAUGCAGGGUCCCCACCGAGCCCGGGGGGGGAGGUUCACAGGCUCCCCUUGGCCUAAGAGGCCUAGAUGCCAGUUCAGCUUUGGGUGCUUGAAUCCAGCUGAGGCCUGUAGGGGCUUUGGGGAAAACGGAGCGGCCCUCUUGGGUGGAGACAUCUCCUUGCGCUCUUGUUGUUGAGACGUCGGAGGACAAGGGAGGAGAGAGGAGGGAGAGGAGACAGCUCCCCGCUGGCCCUGAGUGGGGCAGGGGCCUCGGGCCACAGGCGCUCCCCAGCGGGCGGCUUUGUUCCUGCUCCCCGCUCCGAGCUGCCGGGGCUCCCGCCUCCAGCCAGGCUCCGUCGGGCUCCUGCCCUGUCUGCUGCCACCCCCGGCAGGGUCCCCGGGCCAGGAGGGGGAGAGAUGGGCCCGCGUCCCGGGGACCUGCCCCUGCCCUGGGGCCUGUCGGCCGCUCCCCUCCUUCCUGCUGCACGGCCUCACCCGCGUGCCAGAGGUGCCGGCAGCAGGUCCACGGAAGGAGAAGACUGGAUGCCUUCACACCCAUUUCACAGAUAGAGGAAGUGAGAUUCAAAGAGAUGUAGUUUGUCCUGUUCUUCCAACAAAGAAAAUGGUGGAGCCGGGACUCCGCUGAGCCCCCGCUCGAGCCCCUGGUGCUGCGUGCUUCCUCCCCUAAUCCCCCAAGGAGCCGUGGGCUGCUUGGCAUUUCAUCGUAUCACGUGCAGACCUGGCCUCUGCUGCGGGGUACGCACACAUCACCCCGAGAUCCAUCGGAAGCUCCUGUUAUCUGGAAAUGAGACAUUUCCAUCAACCUGUAUUUGAGGCUGCCCUCUACUUGCAGGAGAAAGAGACACAUCAUGUGAGCACGAAUUAAUCUCGAGUCCCAGAUCAGUCUGGAGCAGCGUCAGCUUCUGGGGUUGGGCGAACCCCGUUCUCUGCGCCGCUGGACGUCCGGGAGCAGGGAUGCGCGGGACACGGCCCGAACCCGGAGAGACGCUCUGUCGGCGGGUGUGCAGCUCCGCUGCUCUGGAACCAUCAGUGCGCCGCGGGGAGAUGGUUUAUAAGC
rnacentral:lncRNA from 12 species